AGUCUGUCUGUUUCCGGGACCAGGGUGAUCAAGAAUGCCUUAGCCUCCGGUACAGGCUUGCCCUUCCACUCUGGCGGGUUGAUGUUCGCGAUGAUUCCUAAUCGGGAUCACUCAGACGCGCAGCUUUUGACAGUAGGGACGUCCUCGAACGAUCCCUU
rnacentral:snRNA from 13 species